CGGACGGGUGAGUAAUGUCUGGGAAACUGCCUGAUGGAGGGGGAUAACUACUGGAAACGGUAGCUAAUACCGCAUAACGUCGCAAGACCAAAGAGGGGGACCUUCGGGCCUCUUGCCAUCGGAUGUGCCCAGAUGGGAUUAGCUAGUAGGUGGGGUAACGGCUCACCUAGGCGACGAUCUCUAGCUGGUCUGAGAGGAUGACCAGCCACACUGGAACUGAGACACGGUCCAG
rnacentral:rRNA from 1 species